CUUGUACUCCCUCCGUCCGAAAAUACUUGUCAUUGAAAUGGAUGUAUCUAGAUGUAUUUUAGUUCUAGACACAUCCAUUUUGAUGACAAGUAAUUCCGGACGGAGGAAGUACUUA
rnacentral:pre_miRNA from 1 species